AUUGAACGCUGGCGGCAUGCUUUACACAUGCAAGUCGAACGGCAGCACGGGUGCUUGCACCUGGUGGCGAGUGGCGGACGGGUGAGUAAUACAUCGGAACGUGUCCUGAAGUGGGGGAUAACGCAUCGAAAGAUGUGCUAAUACCGCAUAUACUCUGAGGAGUAAAGUAGGGGAUCGAAAGACCUUAUGCUUUUGGAGCGGCCGAUGUCUGAUUAGCUAGUUGGUGGGGUAAUUGCCCACCAAGGCGACGAUCAGUAGUUGGUCUGAGAGGACGACCAGCCACACUGGGACUGAGACACGGCCCAGACUCCUACGGGAGGCAGCAGUGGGGAAUUUUGGACAAUGGGCGCAAGCCUGAUCCAGCAAUGCCGCGUGAGUGAAGAAGGCCUUCGGGUUGUAAAGCUCUUUCAGUUGAGAAGAAAAGAUUGUAACUAAUAAUUACAGUUCAUGACGGUAUCAACAG
rnacentral:rRNA from 1 species